UAUCAAUAAGCCGGAGGAA
rnacentral:rRNA from 3 species